AUGAGAUGUUAGUGUGAAUGGUAGAACCAACUGCUCUACCCGACCUAGGGCGUAGAUUGUAGGGGAAGGAGGGGGUGGUGUGCGAUCGAGGCGGCGGACGUCAGCGGCAGGGCGCCGUUGUGCGCGGGCAAGGGGAAGAGGCGGCGGCUAGGGUUAGGGAGACCGACUCCCUAAGGAGUCGGCAAUAAUGAUAAUUAUUAUUGCUUGCCGUUUGUCUCGUUUACAACUUGUAUAUAAAGAGCUAAACUGAUAAAGAUUAAUGGGCUAAUCCCCUAGUUGGGCCCACGGUUGGGCCCCCUCACGUAUUCGAUACCGGUCAUAACAUCUCUCCCCGCCCGUGCAAACAGCUCGUCCUCGAGCUGGUAGUCGGGGUAGUGCAGGCUGAACUCAUCGCGCUUCUCCCAAGUGGCCUCCUCCGGAAGACCUUCCCACUGCACCAGCAAGUACCAAAUGUCGCGACGGAGCUGGGCGCGUAACACCUUCGCCGCGCUCGGUAGGAGACGGCCAUUGGCGAUCGGUGGUAACGUCGGCGGUGCUGCAGGCGGUUCCCCAUGGUAUGGUUUCAGGAGUCCCACAUGAAAGACAUCAUGUAUGCGAGAGCCUGGUGGCAGCUGAAGGCGAUAUGCAAGUGUUCCCACGCGCUCAAGAUGACGAAGGGCCCAGCGUAGCCAGGACCAAGCUUGCGCUUCGCACGUGGGUCGAGGGACUGGGUGGAUCGAUGAAGAAGGCGCAACCACACACAGUCUCCCACCGCAUAAUCCACCUCGCGAUGGUGGCCGUCGUAAUAGUGCUUGGCGAUCUGCUGGGCCUGCACGAGACGUUGCCGCAUCUCGGCAAGUAUCUCGUCGCGGCUGCGGAGAAGCUCCCCGCUGCCGCCGUCCGAGCGGUCGCCGGGUUGACCAGCAAGAUGGGCGGUGGUAGUCGACCGUAGACCACCUCAAAUAGCGUGGCACGAAGGGCGGAAUGGUAGGAGGUGUUGUAGCAAUAUUCCGCCCAAGCGAGCCAAUCCACCCAUGCGCGAGGACGAUCACCUGUAACAUAGUGUAAGUACAUGGCGAUCACUUUGUUCACCACCUCGGACUGACCGUCCGUCUGAGGAUGGAACGCCGUGCUGAACCGGAACUUGAUGCCCGCCAUCUUGAAAAGGUCACGCCAGACGUGCCCCGUGAACACCGGAUCUCGAUCACUGACGAUCGACGCGGGAAAUCCGUGGAGGCGGACGAUGCCAUCGAAGAACGCACGAGCAACGGACGCGGCGGUGUACGGGUGACCGAGCGCGAUGAAGUGGGUGUACUUGGAGAAGCGGUCGACCACCGUGAGGAUGACGGACUUGCCGCCCACCUUGGGGAGGCCCUCGAUGAAGUCCAUGGAGAUGUUGGCCCAGACCUGGGAGGGCACCUCCAGUGGCUGCAACAUCCCCACCGGUCGCAAGAGCGCAAGGACGAUCACCUGGCAUAUCUCGCAAGAGCGCACUCAGUCCCGGACCAAGGCCCGAUCACCAAGGCCCGAUCACCGGGGAUGUAGAAGUCAGCGCCCAUGCAAGAGGAGCCCCUCAGCCAGACGCAAUGGCGCCUCCAACUCGCUCGCCUCCAACUGCUGCCGCAGGAGCUGGUCGUCGGGCGCCGCCGCAGGAGCCUGGCGGAUGGUGUCGAAGAGGGCGAAGGAGGGGCCCGAAUGGAUGCACAACGCUGUCCCCUCGUGAUAUGGAUAUCCGGGCCUGGUACUUUAGGACAGCCAUUGAUAUGAUAUUUGGGUCUAAGGUUGUACCAGUAGUUUAUUAUAAUCUUGUUAUUAGGAGAUAAUAAUGUAGCCAGGUCAUGUUGUGGGCCAAUUAGGGUUUUAAGUUGUGUCUAUUUGACUUGGGCCUGUCCAAGUCGAAUUAGGUUAGGCCCAAUAAGGGUUGGCCGGCCACCCCACCCCUCAUAUAAGGUGGAGGUGCGGCUAGGGUUUGGAUAGAAGAAGUUUAGUCUAAAAGAUUAAGGUUUUCCUAUUGCGUGUGAUCACGUGUAUCAUCCCUCCGGGGGUACGGCGCUGCCGUUAUCUAUUAUAUCCGCUGCGAAGGUUCUUGUGUUCAUCAAGGAUUGUCUAACUCUUGGUUUGAGGCGUAUCGUUCAUCGAUCCGUUGCUUGCUGGAUUCGUUCCCUCUUCUCCAGGCUGCGUUCAUCGCGUUGUUGGGAGGAUUCUCUACCCCAGGUUCUCGCUGUGAAAGAUCGGCAUCAACUAAGGAGGAUCCAGUGGGUCGCUCCCUUAUCACCUCGGGUGCGCUGUCCUCGUUGGCAGCGGCGAGAGAGAGCGUCGGCGACGGUGUUGAGGCGCCCAGGUCGGUACUCCACGGUGAAAUCAAAGCCAAACAGCUUGCUGAUCCACUGAUGUUGCGGCACGGUCGAGAGCCUCUGAUCCAGGAAGUACUUGAGGCUGUAGUGGUCCGUGCGAAUCUGGACCGAGCGCCCCCAAAGGUAGGGAUGCCAAUGGCGCACGGCCUGCACCAAGCCGAUGAGCUCCUGCUCGUACGCCGCGAGCUUGAGAUGAUGCGCGGCGAAGGGCCUACUGAAAUAGGCAAGCGGCCCGUCGCCCUGGUGGAGCACGGCACCGAACCCCUCUCCGGAGGCGUCGCAGUUGAUGAUUAACAGCCGUGCGAAGUCCGGCAUCUGGAGGAUGGGGCCCGUCGUGAGGGCCCCCUUCAGGGCCUCGAACGCGGCGGUGGCCUCGUCAUCCCAGGCGAAGGCAUCGCGGCGUCGCGGCGCAGGAGUCGUGUGAGAGGUGUCGCGAUGAUGCCGAAGUCCCGGAUGAACUUCCGGUAGUACCCGACAAGACUCAGGAAGCCGCGGAGAGCGUGCGCUGAACGAGGAGGCGGCCAUGCUGCGACGGCCGCCACCUUGUCGGCGUCCAUGGCCACCCCCUCGGUGGAGAUGACGUGGCCGAGGUAGGCGACUGAUGUCCCGAACGAGCACUUCGAGCGCUUAAGGUGAAGAUGAUGCGCUCGAAGCUCGUUGAAGACGAUGGCGACGUGCUGUAGGUGCUCCGCCCAUGAGGUGUUGUAGAUCAAAACUAGAACAUGAAAGCGCGCGUUGCUGCGCCCGUCCAUCUUAAUGAAAAACAAACAUAAUUGUUUGAGAAAAUUACGCAAAACCAUUGCAGUUAAUUUCAAUCUUCUGCCAGGUAUUAAAGACAGUGAUUGAAAUGAACAAUGCAUUUCUCAACAUAUUUUGCAUAGAAGCAAGGAAAAUAUGUAGACAAAACAUCAAAUAUAAGUACGCAUAGCUGGUUCAUCGAGCUAGUAGUUCGAUCACAUACCAAAUAACAAUACUUGUAUAAUGUCUACAGAGUGAGACUAACAAGUGAAGGAAUAUUGAGUUGUCUAGAAGCAUGCGAUCAAGCAGUUAGCUGCGAUCAUAUACACAUCGUCUCAGAGAGUAAAAAAGAGAGAUUUAAACAUUAAGCUCUAACCCAAAAUGAUGUCUUCAUCUGGGCAUGUCCACUAUGAGUCGAAGUGGAGCUAUAGGAUACAAAAGGAAACAUGUAAACUCCGAGGUAAGCAGUAAAUAUCAAGUAUGCACAGGCCUACCCAUCCACCUGGUACACAUCACGCAUGUAUCAAAUGCACCCAACAUUUGAAGUGCCAAUAGUGCUAAUAGAAACUCGUAGGUAUAGUGUAAUGCAUUCUGGCUUCCGCUAUCACAUAAUAAAAGUAUGAAUCACUUGGCAGCAUAAAGCUAUAGAUACCAAAGACAACAGAUAAAUAAACUGUGAAGAAAGCCUUAUGUAUAAAACUAAGGAAGAAGUUUUUUAUACAUGGAAAAAUAGUAACAAGAUGAAUGUAUACGUUUUAACUGUAAAGAAAAAUAUAAGGCAAGCGCUAAUAAAAAAAAACUAUCAACUCGUUCAGCUUCUUAGGUAUACCUCGCCAAACUGAAAUAUAUGACAGCUCUACUACUUAGAGCUGGUGCUUCUCACACACGUAUAGUGGACACACACUGAACUCAAAGGUAGAACUGAGUGACACAAGUACUUUGGAGCAGCUCAAAGUUGCUGCGUUUUGUCUCUACUACUUGGUGUCCUGAACUGAUACAUAUGGGGCUUAUUUAUACUAGUAGUGAGCUACAUAGAACAGCUCACGUACAACUAUCCUAGGUGUGAACCUUUGACUGUUGAAGCCAAAAUGUCAAGCCGACUUAUACCUGCAGGUUUCAGGUUUAUCUUCUGCAGCUUAUCUCCUGCAGACUCUGAUUUGCCUCUUGCCCACUUGCCAUACUUGCUGGUCCUAGCCGUCAUGCAAAUAUUCUGUUCACACUAAGCAAACUACUACUACUAAGACAUGCACAUACAAGUGCAUUCUUAUUUGAGGCUAAGCAAACCUGCUACUACUAUUCUAUACUAGCAACUGAUUAAACAACAAUAUAUGCAGGCUUACACAAAAAGUUUUGCUAAAUCUGAGAUUUAAAGCCUUGAAUAGGUGUAGAUUACCUGAUGACAUGCUAAGUAAAUCACUUUCCACACUCUUGUGUGCUUUUGUUCCUAAUUCACUGCCUUCUGCAAAUAUAGCAUAUACACAAGCAUGAGAUGACCACUCUACUGUAAUAUAAGAGCAUGCUUCCAAAACAAAUGGAAAGGCAACAACCGAAUACUUAAAAGGUAAUAAUGGUCAGACAGUAAACAAACUAAUACAACAUAGAAGAGAACAGAGGUGCACAUUUAAAGAAUUGCCAUUAGCAAAUUCAUUAUUACCUCUGGUUGGCUUGUCAAAAUCAAAAGAAACUCUAGCAUUCUCCUAGAAUAAAAAUACUCCGUCCGUCCCACGAAAGUUGUCAGGAAUCUGUUGAGAUUCAAAUGUACCUACACAAUAAAUAGCAUCUAGAUACAUCUAAAUUUUGACAAACCUCAGACAAGUUCCAUGGGACGGAGGGAGCACCAAUUUUCAAGAGCUAAUACUAUAACAGAAGGAAAUCAUACAGGCUGAAACACAAAAGAAAACCCUAUUCUUUUUCAUCCGAUUCUCUGAUUGCUUAUCUAGCUGCUCAUGCCAUUACUUUGUUGAUUGUUCUCACUCAGGAAAUGCUCAACACAAAUUCAAGAUAUAGUUUCCAGAAUGGUCAAUUAAUUAAACAGCAGCACAACUGGCAAAAGAAAUUUGUAGAAUAAAUGGAAUAUUUAUAACUGUCGCCGUGCACACGGUACAUGGAUACAUGAAAAAUGUAUGGCCUGUGGAGGUUGUUUCAUUCAACUCAAGUAAGAUGGUACAAACUGCAAUUAUCUUGGAAAAUAGAACAAGAAAUUGUAAGAGUGUAGGAUGUACAGCUCAAAUAGAAACAUAAGAGUUAUACUACAGGAAUGCUAAACACCAUUACAACCCAUUAACUCGUGAGACACUGAAUACCAAAGCGUACAUCAAAUCAAGAACCACAAGGGAAUGAAAAAGAAUCCAUCUUGCUAAGCUGCUGAGGAGUUGCAAAAAGUGUAUGUUUCUUCCCCAUACCAUCUAGUUUUUUAGCUUCCCAUUCUUCCUGGAAAACAACAAGUACCCCCAUAGCAGAAUUAUGCUGUUAAUUCUCUUACUUCUUACAAAGAUUGGUGCGUGGAACACAUCACUGCUAUUGUUGUAGGCUCUGCAUUGUGGAUGCCGCAUGAAGCAAGAAAAGGAAGAUGCAACAGAGAAGAGCAAAAGGCCAUGUCCAGUGUAGAGGCGCUUGUUAGGGUGCUUUGGGAGAAAAUUUAAUCUCUAAUUAUGUAGCAUCUCUAUAAUAAUAGACCUCCAAUGCAGAUUGCAAUUGAUAGAUGCUAGCACGAUUAGAAAAUAUUAUAUAGUGUCUAUGCUCUCCAAUGCAAUAAUGCAAGCGCCCACCCAAUCCGUUGAACCUGGCUGGCUCGCAGUCUUUGUGAUUGUUCAACCCUGACCGGACGUUCUACUACUUCAGAACCUUGACAUGCAGAUCAGCAAGAACAACAACAAGAAGUGAUUAAUCAGCUACAACCCAGUUUGCAAGAGCCUCUAAUGUCGGAUCAAUUCUUUUUGCGGAAAAUAGCAGAUUAAUUUGAUCCUUCCUGCACAUACCUGCCUUCUAGCAAUGGAGGAGGUCGAUCCGGGCUAAGGCGCCCUGGUGCUCCUCCUCAAUUUGGUCGAGGGUCUCCAUGGGUCAUGGCUGCGCGGUCCUUGAGCACCGUCCAUAGUCUCAGAUCGACGCCUACGUUCUCCCCAUCACCAUCUCCAUCUGCCCCUCUGUCCCGUAACCUAUCUCUGUUCUCCCUUAGCCAACCUCCAACCCCAAACAUCUUUCCCACGAACUGCUGCAGCUGCGUCCCAUAGCCUAAAAAGUAAGGAAGAGAAAGUGAAGGGGACAAGGAACCCCCAUCCAUUAGUACUGGUAGAUGGAAACGGAUCUCAAAAAAAAAAAGGAAACGGAAGUCCCGGCCACCUUCUGCGGCAUUAAGCAGGAAGAAAAAAUGGCGGCGGCGCCACCAUGUCCUUCCACGACACCAUCGCUCCGCCUUCCCAAACGGACUGAAUCCCGUGGCUGCUUGGAGAAAGUCGGCAGGCCACUCGUUCUGGCCUUCAUUGCCGAAACAAGCCGUAGCGCAUUUGUCAACUCACGGCCCACGGAAGCCCAGUUGACGACAAGGCACGGAAAACAACCUGCGGAGUAGAGGCCCUUAUGAUGCUUGGCCUGUCCAGCUCGGACGAGGUGACAUAACAAACGAGGCACACUUGACGGUGCGGGAGGAAGGAAUGAUCUGGUGCGUCCGUGUUCUUCAUCCGACGGCCAAAGACUCUAAAUCGAGUUUUAAUGUUAACUAAUGUCAUCAAAGAAAACGAGCACAAACUGACGUAAAUAGGGGCGGAGUACAUCGUUCAUCAGGGCCUGGAAUGUCGCUGGCGCGUUGGUGAGGCCGAAGGGCAUCACCACAAACUUGAAGUGGCAAUGAUAGGUCCGGAACGCCAUCUUGGCGAUGUCGUCCGGGUGCAUGCGCACUUGGUGGUAGCCCAACCGUAAGUCGAGCUUGGUGAAGAAGCGCGCCCCAUGAAGCUCGUCGACCACCGGAAUCGGGAACUUGUCCUUCAGCGUGAGCGCAUUAAGGGCGCGGUAGUCGAUGCAGAAACGCCAUGUGCCAUCCGCCUUGCGGACGACCAGCACCGGCGCCGAAAACGGCGACGUGGAGAUCCUGAUGAUGCCCACAGCGAGCAUGAGUGCGCACUGGCGCUCGAGCUCGUCCUUCUGCAGCUGUGGGUAGCGGUAAGGCCGCACUGCUACCGGUGCCGUGUCCGAGGCGAGGUGAAUACGAUGAUCGUACACCCGGGCAGGCGGGAGGCCUUGUGGCUCGUCGAGUUGGCAAUAAUGAUAAUUAUUAUUGCUUGCCGUUUGUCUCGUUUACAACUUGUAUAUAAAGAGCUAAAUUGAUAAAGAUUAAUGGGCUAAUCCCCUAGUUGGGCCCACGGUUGGGCCCCCUCCUCACGUAUUAACAGUGAAAUGUGAAUGAGGUUUAUACUUUGA